rnacentral:sRNA from 1 species
GUUUUGUUCGGGUUGCUUCUAUACCAAGGAAGUAGUGAAGAUCUGUGGGAUCUUUGAUGGAGAAACGUUCCGCAAGGGAAGUCAGCACCGCAUCGAUGGAUGACUUGUCGCUCCCUG